UACGUAGGCAGCAAGCGUUGUUCGGAAUUACUGGGCGUAAAGAGUGUGUAGGCGGUGCUCUAAGUUUGGUGUGAAAUCUCCGGGCUCAACUCGGAGCCUGCACGAGAAACUGCCGGGCUUGAGUGUGGGGGAGGUGAGUGGAAUUCCUGGUGUAGCGGUGAAAUGCGUAGAUAUCAGGAGGAACACCUGUGGCGAAAGCGGCUCACUGGACCAUAACUGACGCUGAUGCACGAAAGCUAGGGGAGCAAACAGG
rnacentral:rRNA from 1 species